rnacentral:rRNA from 1 species
CCAGUUCGGACUGUAGUCUGNAACCCGACUACACGAAGCUGGAAUCGCUAGUAAUCGCGAAUCAGAAUGUCGCGGUGAAUACGUUCCCGGGUCUUGUACACACCGCCCGUCACACCAUGGGAGUCGGGAAUGCCCGAAGUCAGUGACCCAACCUAUUGGAGGGAGCUGCCGAAGGCAGGUCUGAUAACUGGGGUGAAGUCGUAACAAGGUAUC